UGGGGAAUCUUGCGCAAUGGGCGGAAGCCUGACGCAGCAACGCCGCGUGGGGGAAGAAGGCCUUCGGGUUGUAAACCUCUUUCAGUAGGGACGAAGCUUCCGGGGUUAAUAGCCUACGGGGUGACGGUACCUACAGAAGAAGCCCCGGCUAACUACGUGCCAGCAGCCGCGGUAAUACGUAGGGGGCAAGCGUUGUCCGGAAUCAUUGGGCGUAAAGCGCGUGUAGGCGGCUUGGUAAGUCUGGCGUGAAAUCUUGGAGCUCAACUCCAAGCCUGCGCUGGAUACUGCCUCGCUAGAGUCCGGGAGAGGAAAGCGGAAUUCCCAGUGUAGCGGUGAAAUGCGCAGAUAUUGGGAAGAACACCGAUGGCGAAGGCAGCUUUCUGGAACGGUACUGACGCUGAGACGCGAAAGCGUGGGGAGCAAACAGG
rnacentral:rRNA from 1 species